AUUGUGGUUCUGCCCGUCCUCCCCCUCGCGCAAUCUCAGGAACGUCGUGCUCAAGCCGCACCGCCAUCAUCGCCCCUAGCACACCUUCCUUCGGCAACCUUCCAUAGACGCAAUCACAGGAUCCACGCCCCGCGUCCGUGCUCCCCCUCGCGCAGGUCCAAGCGCGUGCCUUCCUCCGCCGACGAGGCCGAGGUUGCUGAGCUCCUCGCCGACACCUCCACGCCCCCGCCUCUCGCCCUCUCCCACGUCUCCUGUGUGCCCCUGCCCCUUCGGCUCCAUCUGGCAACGCCAUCCUCGCUCGCACGCCCUCGCCUCCGUGAGCCCCACCCCGCUCCGGCGCUCCCAUCGUGCCCGAACCCUGAGAUAGCCGCCGCCCCAAGCGUCUGACGUCAUGCCCCUCGCCUGCCUCUCGACCCACAAGAUAGCCGCCCCCACCCCCUCUCCGAGCGUGGAUAAGGAAGCAUCGCCGCACGGAAUCGUUCAAGUGGCGCGCGAUGGAGGACGAGGGGAGCAGCGGCCCGAGCCUGGGCCCGGACAGGGAGGCCUCCUCCUCGCCGCUGCAGAGGCCGGAGAGAGUGAGGAUGUCCAAGGCUAGCGACUUCAUCAUCCCCUAAGCCGCAGACCAGGGCCGCUUCGACGUCGGCCAACCCCUGCGCCUGUCCCCGCGAUGUCCAGUCAUGCCACCACCGCGCGCACACACCUCCCUUUCCAUGUUUGACCUCCCGCGGCAUGAGGUGGUGUGUUGGCUCCACGUGUUGCGCGUGCCGGAGGACGACGACACUUGACUUCUCGCCGUCGCAGUUCACCUCCUCCUAGAAUGUCGUCGCCGACUCCACCACACCCUUCCAAGAUGCGCGGCGCGUCCGGCACCAUGCCACUCACCGUGAAGCAGGUCGUCGACGCCUAGCAGUCUGGCACGGGCGAGAAGGGUGCUCCACUCAGUCUGAUCGUUGGACAUGUUUGAGAGUGCGCCGAAGGCUCUUCCUUGUGUGGAGUGGUCGACACGCAGGGUCAAAAGAAAUGGUUUAUCCUCCUGUCCCAAAUGCAUUGUUCCUCUAGCGUAGUUCUUGGGGAAUUCGUGUGGAUCGAGGAAGGGAUUUUUGUGUUGGGGUUUGGAAGGUGGUGUUGCUGCUCCUACUGUUCUUGGCAUGAGCGUUGGAGAUGGGGACAGACUACUACAAUGCGCUCAAGGUGAGCCGAAACGCCACGGCGCGAUGGAGGAGGACCUCAAGAAGUCGUAACACCGGCUGGACAUGAAGUGGCACCCAACAAGAACCCUGGCAACGUCAAGGAUGAAGUUGAGGCCAAAUUCAAGAUCUCCAAGGCCUAAGGGGUUUUGAGUGAUCCCCAGAAGAGGGCGGCAUACGAUCAGUAUGGCAAGAAAGGGCUGAAGGCCUUUGCAGAUAUCCAGGAGCGUUGUGAGGCUGAAUGGAUGAAGGAAAUACUUGGUGAUUAUGAUGCUAUUCAUGUGAGAGUGGUGAUCUAUUGAAAAAUACUUGGUGUUGAACAGAGCCUUCAUCCUCAUCUAGACAGAGACACCACACCUGAGUAUAACAGAAAAAGAAUUGCACAAUGGAUUCCACCGGGUCAAACUUCAUUCAUUGCAUUAAAUGAAAGAACUCCAUGCUUCUUUUCCACUCUGUCAGACAGGUACUGUCUACUCUGUUUUUCUUAUUUCUCUGUCCAACUAGAAUUUUUGGCGUUGUUUAAAUAGCAUCAAUUUUCUUCUUGCAUCCUAAUGCAUUGCAGAGCACUUCUUGGUAAGGGCACUUAGAAAGAUGUCCUCAUUCUUGUUAUUAUUGAGGAUUAUUUAAAAGAAUUAAGUUUAUAUUUCUGUUUACUUUCCAUUUUGGCAUGGUUAAACAUUUCUUAGCAAUAAGAUGUUUUGUUGUGGCUAGUCAUGUCAGUUCUUCAAUCUGUAUGCUGAUUAAAUGCUAUUCAGGUUUCUACCUCUAUGUGUGCUAAUAUAUCAAGAACCACUGUGUGCUUACUGAAUGUGUUUGCUCAUUCAUUAGGCAACAAUUCAGGUACAAGUUAGCGUACUCGUGCAACUUGAGUAGCAUGUUGGAGCCAAUUAUUAAGGAAAACUAUCAGUUAUUGACAGUAAGAGGCUCGUGAUGCAAGGAGCAAAGACAUUUAUCAAGACAAUGAGAGAAUUUGACAGUGAUUUAACCCUUUGUGAUGAUCCAAAAAGAACACCAAUGAUUAUUAUAGGUAUUAAAUAUUGUCUAAUUAUAAAACAAAUUACAGAUGGAGACUAAAAUACGAGAUAAAUUUAUUAAACCUAAUUAAGUCUAUAUUUAAUACUCCUAAUUGAUAUUUAAAUAUUUGAUAUGACCCGAACUAAACUUUAGUCAGGGAACAAAACACUUAGACUUGGAGAGCUGAAUCUUUCAGCAACUUGACAUCCUGACAUGGACAACUGAUUAAACCUGAAGCUAGCAUGGUAGUGUUUGCUGUUAUUGCAGAAGCCAGCUAAAAUCAACCUGCAAUGGUGGACACCACCUAUGUUUCACUUCAGCGCAUCUGUUCAUACUACCACGCGUACUUAUAAUCUAGAAAAAGCCAAAAGUCUUGACAUGUUUUGUUUGCAACACAAAAGAGAAUUUGGUUACAACACAAAAGAGAAGAUUUAUUUGCAGAUUUAGAAUGUAUAUACAUGUCACAUCCUUUUGUACAACAUGUGUAAGAAUGAAGCAGCACCAUGAGGCUUAUGCGUGGAGAAUAUCAUUAAUUGGUUAUUAUCUUUUAAUUUGUAUAGGUCUGUAAGAACGAACCUGCACAUUGAGGCUUAUACGUGGAGAGUGCCAUAAAUUGGUUGUUAUAUUCUUUUCUCUA